CGAUAAGAACAUAGAUCUACGUGGCUUGUUCUGUGUGUGGAGACUGCAGGAAAUGAAGUGAAGGAAUUGCUGGAUGUUCAACUGUGAUGGUCACAGUGACUGAUGUUUACAUGCUGACAGGACCUGUAAGUGACAGGAUGUGGAAACUCAUGCUGUGGUGCUAGUGGUUCCCAGAGUGUGUGAUCUCGAUACAGUGGCUGCCGACCAUUCCAGACACGCUUCUGGUCCGAUGCCCCUCCUGACUUUGUGGGCUGGUGGGAGACAGAGCCAACUAUGGGGUAUUCCCAGGAAGAAGGUAGGCAUGCUGCCUCUGUGGUAAAAUUAGAAGUUUCCAAUGAGCUCUAGCACAAAUAGGUGUGUAAA